rnacentral:rRNA from 1 species
CCUACGGGAGGCAGCAGUGAGGAAUAUUGGUCAAUGGGCGCAAGCCUGAACCAGCCAAGUCGCGUGAGGGAAGACGGCCCUACGGGUUGUAAACCUCUUUUGCCGGGGAGCAACGGGCGCCACGUGUAGCCCCACUGAGAGUACCCGGAGAAAAAGCAUCGGCUAACUCCGUGCCAGCAGCCGCGGUAAUACGGAGGAUGCGAGCGUUAUCCGGAUUUAUUGGGUUUAAAGGGUGCGUAGGCGGAACGUCAAGUCAGUGGUAAAAUUGAGGGGCUCAACCCCUUCCAGCCAUUGAAACUGGCGUUCUUGAGUGGGAGAGAAGUAUGCGGAAUGCGUGGUGUAGCGGUGAAAUGCAUAGAUAUCACGCAGAACCCCGAUUGCGAAGGCAGCAUGCCGGCUUCCGACUGACGCUGAAGCACGAAAGCGUGGGGAUCGAACAGGAUUAGAUACCCUAGUAGUC